AGACCAUCACCUCUUUCCUCUCAUCCCUGUCUCCACACCUUUCCACCUCUGUCAUUUUGAUCAUGAGUAACGUGGGCUCUGGCUUCAGUAGCCGCUCAUUGGGGUCUUACACCCGUGUUGGAUCAUCUAUACCCCGUCAGGGCAACUCUUACUUCGGGUUUGGGGACAUGCCAACAAUCGGGGUGCCCAUCAAGGCUGUGUCUGUUAACAGAAGCCUUCUAGAGCCAAUUGAUCUUCAUCUGGAUCCAAACCUACAGGCUGUGAGAACCCAGGAAAAAGAGCAAAUCAAAUCUCUCAACAAUCGCUUUGCCUCCAUCAUCAACCAGGUUCGAAUACUGGAGCAAGACAAUAAGAUGUUGGAGACUAAAUGGCAGCUGCUGCAGACUGAGUCUAAGUCUGAGUCUAAACUCGAGCCCAUGCUGAAGACUUACAUCAGUUCCCUUCAGGCACAGCUGGAUCGGAUACAGAAAGACAAAGGCCAUCUGGACACUGAGCUCAAGAAUGCCUUCGCACAGGUUGAGCAACAAAAACAAAGGUAUGAAGAUGAAAUUAACAACAGAAACAAGGCAGAAAAUGAGUUUGUUUUUCUAAAGAAGGAUGUUGACUCAACUUACUUGGGUAAAAUUGCCUUGGAAGAUAAAAUUGCUGGAAUCCUGGAGGACCUGAAUUUCCUUAAGAGCUUCAACGAACAGGAGCUGCGUGAACUUCAGGCCGACAUGAAGAACAUGUCUGUUGUGGUGCAGAUGGACAAUAGUAGGCAACUGAACAUGGAGCAGAUUGUCACUGAUGUAAAGAACCAGUAUGAGGACAUUUCUGGACGCAGCCGACAGGAAGCCGAAACCUGGUACAAGAACAAGUUUGACUUGAUCUCAUCGCAGGCUGACCAGUGCAACUCUGAGCUGAACAAUAAUAAAAGCACAAUGGCUGAUUUGAAAAGGCAGAUAAUGCGGCUGCAAAAUGAGAUAGCCACAGCUAAAUCACAGCGUGUGGGUGUGGAGGGGGAAAUCGCAGAGGUGGAGCGUUGCGGUGAGGAGGCGGUGCUUGAUGCUAAAGAACGAAUCAAAUCCCUGGAGAACACGCUGCAGAAAGCCAAACAAGAUAUGGCCAAACAGAUUCGCAACUACCAGGAACUAAUGAAUGUCAAACUGGCACUGGAUAUUGAGAUAGCCACCUACAGGAAACUACUGGAAGGAGAAGAGAACAGGCUUGGGCUGGACUCCACUAUAAACCUCCAUCUAAUCCAUAAACAUCUGUGAUCAUCUGAUGCAAAGCCAUCUCAGUCUGGGCGCCAUCACUCACCUGGCAACAGCGCUGGCUGAGGGGCGAGAGACCACGCUGGAUUUGUCCUGGGCCAGACUGGAACAUGGAUCAGUCAAGAUCAUCUAUGAUGCACUCACAAACUCCAUGCUACUGCCACUAAUUCUGGAUUCUUGCUCUCUGACAGCUGCAUCCAUGUCUGCAUUAUCGUAAGAUGCAUUUUUGCCUGCGAGUUGACUGGCUCCUUCUGCUCCUCUCUGGCAGCUGCCCUCCAAUCAGAACACUACCAUCUGACUGAAAUGGACCAUCUGUCUGUUAAUGAGCUCGCCAAUCAGGAGCAAUGCUAAUAUGUGAUGCCCUGAAAGCUCCUAAUUGUACACUGGAAAAAUUGGGUCUCACAGUAGAACUGAACAAAGUGGGUGAUACUGGAUCCAAACACGUGUUGGGGGCACUGAGACACAAAAACUGCAAACUACAGCACCUGGAAAGAAAGAAUGUCAUAUGCAAAUGGAACAACACGAGGAUGAGUAAAUUAUUACAUAACUUUCAAUUUUGGGUGAACUGUCCUUUUAAACUGCACCCGAUGAUGUGCCUUAUACCUGUGUUUUCUUGUUUUUGCAGUCUGGAGGUGAUGUCACUGACUCAUGUGUUGUUGCCAGCAGCAAUUUAUUGACACUCAGCCUUAAGAUCAAUGGCCUGACGGACUCAUCUUUACCACAGUUGGUCAUAUUCAUGCAGGACCAUCCAAUCAUGAGCUUAUAAAGUAAGUUCAGUCCACUCAUGUAAAUAUGCUCUCGUCACACUUCAAUAUGAUGUACUAUCCAUAAUAACAUAUUAUAGAGUUAUUUUUGUCAUAUUGUUUCCAGUCUGCAGUAUGACUUCAGUGAGGAUUUUUCUGAAUUGAUGGAAAUCUGCCAAAAAAUCCAUUACUAGAGAAACAAACCCAAAAAGUUGGGAACACCUGGAUAUUUAUUCUGCUAAGUAGUACUGGAACCUUUGUGAGAAACCUUACUUGGUUAAGCAUUUGUAAAUGGCAUAAACUCUGAUACAUCGGAUGCAUUCAUAACCAAAUUUACUUAUCAUUACUAGCCAACUCUUUCUUUGCACCAAAGCUUCGCCCUCUUGUGGCCUUUUUACAGAUUUGUGUAUGACCAUUUUGACUCUUUUGCUUUGAUUUAUCAUUGGACUGGCAUUUUUAUGGUUCUUAUGUAUGCUGAAAAACCCUCAAAAUACAUUUAAUAAAAAAAUUGACAAAUGGAGCUUACAAAUACAAUGAUAUAUUUCACAGUACAUGUUGAGAACAUUAUUCUGAGGACUUUUCCACUCUCUGCAUGGACGGUAACAGCUUAAGGAGACUGAGGCACAUAGAGAUGAAUGGUCAGUUUGAACAUUUUCAACAGAAUAGUGUAAAUAAACUGAUGCAUACAAAAUUUCAACUGAGAACCAAUGACAUAACCUCACAGUAUUGGUCAUUUUCAUCAGGGCCGGCCCAUGGGUUUGUGGGGCCCUAAGUGAAAUCAUGAAAAUAGGCUCCCCGUUGUGAAAAUUGUCAUAUCUCUAAAACAUCAUAGAACCACUGAAAACGUGAUUAGCAGAUUUUUCAAAUAGAAAGCACUAAAAAAGAAGCACUAUAUUGUAUUUCUCGGUAAUAACGUGUCCAAUAGCUUUUUUCCCAACAUGUUUGGUUAAAAUGUUCUUGCAUGAAUAAGGGAAUAUGCGUAUUUUACAAGUCACCAUUUUCCAGAUUAAUUGCUCAUAUGUUUACUCUAUUUGAGUUUUUGCAUCUUUAUAGCUGCAGUCCUUUAAUUCCUUCCCCAGCAGAUUAUACUUGAAAAAACGUUUCUUCUAUCCUUUACAUAAAAUAAGCCUCAAAGACUCAAAUAGCCACAAAGCAAUAUUUUUCAUAAAAUUUCCUGCGUUUAUGUCAGGUGUGUGCAUUAUUCAGCAAGGUGCGAUCUGUGUCUAAUAAUAAUGUAAAAAUAACCCAUGCUCAGUUCCCAGUAAUGCUUUGCGUUAUGAAUAAAUUAUGCAGAUAAGUGUGUACUGCUUAGCUUUACUUCUUGCCAAUUUUAGCUACACUGUUGUUAUUUUAUUUGUUGUAACUAUUAGUUAUUUGUCUUUUUGUGAUUUAUUCAGAGCUCAUUUUAUACUUAAUAUGUUGUUUUUCGUUUUUACCAUCAUUGUGAUUUGUAUUUUAAAAGAUCAGGUCCACACAUGUUGCAUCGCAUCCUGUGUGUGAGCGUGAUAGAAACUAUUGAACUUUCAAAAUAAAAGUCAUCAAUGUUAAUCUUAUUACUUGUUCAUUUACUUUGCAUGUGUUCGUGGAACCCCCCAAGACAUGUCGGGCCCCAAGACGGCCACCUAUAUCACCUCCUUUAGGAGGGGCCCGACCCUGAUUCUCAUUGUGACACACACACACAUGUUGGGUUUCAUGUUUUAUGGGGACUUUCCAUAGACAUAAUGGUUUUUAUACUGUACAAACUUUAUAUUCUAUCCCCUAACCCUAACCCUAAUCCUAACCCUCACAGAAAAAACUUUCUGUAUGUUUAUUACAUUUUCAAUAAACUAAAUUUAGUAUGAUUUGUAAGAGGUUUUCCUCAUGGGGACCGACAAAAUGUCCCAACAAUGUCCAAAAUAUUGGGUUUUACUAUCCAUAUGGGGCAUUUGGUCACCACACACACACACACACACACACACACACACACACACACACACACACACACACACACACACACACACACACACACACACACACACA